UUGAAAGGGAAACGAUUGAAGUCAGUCGUACCGACGAGAAAUCAGCUUUUCGAAUGUGCAUUUGUGGGCGUAUGAGAUCUUCAUUGUUUGCAAUAUGUAUGUUUCUUUGGUGUACUUUUUCGUAUGGUAAGGUCAAUGUCGGUUUUGAUCGCCAUAAAAUGAUCGGAGGAAUGUAGCUUCGGCUUCGGUUGAAGUGUUAUAGCCUUUGGUAAAUGUGGUGAUUAAGACCGAGGAUUGCAACGAAUACCUUUUAGGCUAUCCGUCUGACCUCUGAAAGUUACUUAGGUGCCGAAAGCUUGCUUACGGUCAUUUAAGUUGACGGUCGAUAGGUUAGAACGUGAUUACAUUCGUUAAGGAUGUUGACGUA
rnacentral:rRNA from 1 species